rnacentral:rRNA from 1 species
GACGAACGCUGGCGGCGUGCUUAACACAUGCAAGUCGAACGGAAAGGCCCUGCUUUUGUGGGGUGCUCGAGUGGCGAACGGGUGAGUAACACGUGAGUAACCUGCCCUUGACUUUGGGAUAACGUCAGGAAACUGGGGCUAAUAACGGAUAGGAGCUCCUGCUGCAUGGUGGGGGUUGGAAAGUUCCGGCGGUUGGGGAUGGACUCGCGGCUUAUCAGCUUGUUGGUGGGGUAGUGGCUUACCAAGGCUUUGACGGGUAGCCGGCCUGGGAGGGUGACCGGCCACAUUAGGACUGAGAUACGGCCCAGACUCCUACGGGAGGCAGCAGUGGGGAAUAUUGCACAAGGGGCGGAAGCCUGAUGCAGCAACGCCGCGUGCGGGAUGACGGCCUUCGGGUUGUAAACCGCUUUCGCCUGUGACGAAGCGUGAGUGACGGUAAUGGGUAAAGAAGCACCGGCUAACUACGUG